AUUGAACGCUGGCGGCAGGCCUAACACAUGCAAGUCGAACGGUAACAGGAAGCAGCUUGCUGCUUCGCUGACGAGUGGCGGACGGGUGAGUAAUGUCUGGGAAGCUGCCUGAUGGAGGGGGAUAACUACUGGAAACGGUAGCUAAUACCGCAUAAUGUCGCAAGACCAAAGAGGGGGACCUUCGGGCCUCUUGCCAUCGGAUGUGCCCAGAUGGGAUUAGCUUGUUGGUGGGGUAACGGCUCACCAAGGCGACGAUCCCUAGCUGGUCUGAGAGGAUGACCAGCCACACUGGAACUGAGACACGGUCCAGACUCCUACGGGAGGCAGCAGUGGGGAAUAUUGCACAAUGGGCGCAAGCCUGAUGCAGCCAUGCCGCGUGUAUGAAGAAGGCCUUCGGGUUGUAAAGUACUUUCAGCGGGGAGGAAGGGAGUAAAGUUAAUACCUUUGCUCACUGACGUUACCCGCAGAAGAAGCACCGGCUAACUCCGUG
rnacentral:rRNA from 1 species